rnacentral:rRNA from 1 species
GACGAACGCUGGCGGCGUGCUUAACACAUGCAAGUCGAGCGGUAAGGCCCUUUCGGGGGUACACGAGCGGCGAACGGGUGAGUAACACGUGGGUGACCUGCCCUCAGCUCUGGGAUAAGCCUGGGAAACCGGGUCUAAUACUGGAUAUGACUCCAUGACGCAUGUUGUGGGGUGGAAAGCCUUGUGCGGCUGAGGAUGGGCCCGCGGCCUAUCAGCUUGUUGGUGGGGUGAGGCCUACCAAGGCGACGACGGGUAGCCGGCCUGAGAGGGCGACCGGCCACACUGGGACU